UUGAUGUUUAGGUUAGUUUUGGGGUGGCUAUUUUUUGGAUCCGCUGCUGCCGUGCGCCGUGCGUCUGGAUCAGGCGCAGGUCGCCGCCAUAGGAGAGCAGGGUGGCGUGGUCUUUGUGGUGGGCAUGGAGCAAGGGAGGAUGAGGCGCUGGUAUGAGGAAAGGAGCAGGAAGGUCGGAGUUCCAGGCGGUGCUGGCCGUCGUCACAUGUCCCCAGUCUAGAUCUAAGAAAAAAGAGAAGGGGAUGAAUCUGGAGGAAGAGCUUGGUGAAGAACAAGGUGUUCGUAAUGGCAACGGUGGUAAUCAACGAUGAGAAAAAAGGACCGAGAUUGUAUUUGUACUAGGUAUGUUCCUCAUCUCUCUCAGUCCUUGUUCCAAUCCCCACCUUGAUGUAACUGUUUCUUCACAACUAUUGGAUGUGUCUUAGGAGAUGAAUGCCAUGGAUUGUUUAGAUUCUUGUUGAGCUAACCACUACUUAAACUAUUUGUCCCCUUGUUAAAGCUAAUCAUAGUAAUAGUUGGUGAUCGUCUGGCUGCUGUGUAUAGUGGCAACCAAAUUCAUGAUGAUGAACUGAAUCAAACCCGUAGUAAAGUUAGUGUUAAAUCACACAUGUGUAUAGUCAAGUUCAGUACACUCAAGCAGUUUUGUCAGAUUGUA